UCUGAAUAGGGCGUUUAGUAUUUGGUCGUAGACCCGAAACCAGGUGAUCUACCCUUGGUCAGGUUGAAGUUCAGGUAACACUGAAUGGAGGACCGAACCGACUUACGUUGAAAAGUGAGCGGAUGAACUGAGGGUAGCGGAGAAAUUCCAAUCGAACCUGGAGAUAGCUGGUUCUCUCCGAAAUAGCUUUAGGGCUAGCCUCAAGUGAUGAUUAUUGGAGGUAGAGCACUGUUUGGACGAGGGGCCCCUCUCGGGUUACCGAAUUCAGACAAACUCCGAAUGCCAAUUAAUUUAACUUGGGAGUCAGAACAUGGGUGAUAAGGUCCGUGUUCGAAAGGGAAACAGCCCAGACCACCAGCUAAGGUCCCAAAAUAUAUGUUAAGUGGAAAAGGAUGUGGCGUUGCCCAGACAACUAGGAUGUUGGCUUAGAAGCAGCCAUCAUUUAAAGAGUGCGUAAUAGCUCACUAGUCGAGUGACACUGCGCCGAAAAUGUACCGGGGCUAAACAUAUUACCGAAGCUGUGGAUUGUCCUUUGGACAAUGGUAGGAGAGCGUUCUAAGGGCGUUGAAGCAUGAUCGUAAGGACAUGUGGAGCGCUUAGAAGUGAGAAUGCCGGUGUGAGUAGCGAAAGACGGGUGAGAAUCCCGUCCACCGAUUGACUAAGGUUUCCAGAGGAAGGCUCGUCCGCUCUGGGUUAGUCGGGUCCUAAGCUGAGGCCGACAGGCGUAGGCGAUGGAUAACAGGUUGAUAUUCCUGUACCACCUAUA
rnacentral:rRNA from 1 species